GACGAACGCUGGCGGCGUGCUUAACACAUGCAAGUCGAACGAGCGGCGGACGGGUGAGUAAUGCCUAGGAAUCCGCCUGGUAGGGGGGGAUAAAGUCCGGCAACGGGCGCUAAUACCGCAUACUAUUAGAUCAGCCCAGGUCGGAUUCGCUAGUUGGUGGGGUAAAGGCCUACAAAGGCGACGAUCCGUAACUGGUCUGAGCGGACGAUCAGUCACACUGGAACUGAGACACGGCCCAGACUCCUACGGGAGGCAGCAGUGGGGAAUAUUGGACAAUGGGCGAAAGCCUGAUCCAGCCAUGCCGCGUGUGUGAAGAAGGUCUUCGGAUUGUAAAGCACUUUAGUUUGGGAGGCGUUACCAACAGAAUAAGCACCGGCUAACUUCGUGCCAGCAGCCGCGGUAAUAC
rnacentral:rRNA from 1 species